AUGGAGUUCCCUGCUGAGAACCCGAGGCUGCUGAUGCUCUGGAUCCCUGGUCAGGGCAGAAGAGAGAUGAGGAAGGAGAAUGGGGUGGGAGGUUUGUGUACAACAUUGCACUUCUCUUUCAUUACUUUAACAUCCUGUGGGGAUGUUGUGUUGGCUCAGACUCCACUCUCCCGGGCUGUCAUCCUUGGAGAACCGGGCUCCAUCCUCUGUAGGUCUAGUCAAAGCCUCCUACAUAGUAAUGGAUAUACGUAUUUGUAUUCAUAUCUGCAAAAUCCUCGCCAACCAGGCUUAGGGAUCCCAGAUAUGUUCAGUGGUAGCAGGGCAGGGACAGAUUCCACACUGAAAAUCAGCAGAGUAGAGUGUGAGGAUGGUGGAAUUUAUCUCUGCAUGCAGGCUACAUACUUUUCUCCACUUCUCCCACCUUCGUACACUCUGUAG